rnacentral:rRNA from 1 species
CCCUUAGAUGUUCUGGGCCGCACGCGCGCUACACUGAUGCAUUCAACGAGCCUAUCCUUGACCGACAGGUCCGGGUAAUCUUUGAAUCUGCAUCGUGACGGGGAUAGAUUAUUGCAAUUAUUAAUCUUCAACGAGGAAUGCCUAGUAGGCGCAAGUCAUCAGCUUGCGUCGAUUACGUCCCUGCCCUUUGUACACACCGCCCGUCGCUCCUACCGAUUGGGUGUGCUGGUGAAAUGUUCGGAGCGGCCGUUUGUCGCGGUUUCCGCGUCAUGUGGCUGAGAAGUUCAUUAAACCCUCCCACCUAGAGGAAGGAGAAGUCGUAACA